rnacentral:rRNA from 1 species
UUCGCCGCCCGUCGGUGUCAACUGGCAUGUCCUGUGGAACGUCCUGCCGGUGGCGGACCGGGCUUUCGGCUUGCGUAAGGGCUUACGCUCGAAGCAGGCCGAACAGUACCGGCCGCCGGUCCAAUCCCGCCACGGUGCUCUUCACCGAGUGUCGAGGUGGGCCGGCACGUUUACUUUGAACAAAUUAGAGUGCUUAAAGCAGGCUGGUGUCCGCCUGAAUACUGUGUGCAUGGAAUAAUAGAAUAGGACCUCGGUUCUAUUUUGUUGGUUUUCGGAACCCGAGGUAAUGAUUAAUAGGGACAGGCGGGGGCAUUCGUAUUGCGACGUUAGAGGUGAAAUUCUUGGAUCGUCGCAAGACGAACCUAAGCGAAAGCAUUUGCCAAGUAUGUUCUCGUUAAUCAAGAACGAAAGUUAGAGGUUCGAAGGCGAUCAGAUACCGCCCUAGUUCUAACCAUAAACGAUGCCAGCCAGCGAUCCGCCGAAGUUCCUCCGAUGACUCGGCGGGCAGCUUCCGGGAAACCAAAGCUUUUGGGUUCCGGGGGAAGUAUGGUUGCAAAGCUGAAACUUAAAGGAAUUGACGGAAGGGCACCACCAGGAGUGGAGCCUGCGGCUUAAUUUGACUCAACACGGGAAACCUCACCAGGCCCGGACACCGGAAGGAUUGACAGAUUGAGAG